rnacentral:tRNA from 13 species
AAUAGUGAAGAUUUGUAGUUAUCUGCAUAAAUUUCGGAAAUUUAUUCAAUUCCAAACAAGUCUGAAUUUCGAGUUAUAUAGAGUCUGCAUAAAGUUUAUUACACAUUUAUUUCGUGCCAUUUUCACGUGGCCAUGCCACGCAGUUCGCAGCAUUAAAUUAACAUUUUUUAAUUAAAAACAGAGCCGAAGAGACUGGCAGACAGACAGGAGAACAGGCAACAGAGCGCGCUGCACGUGGCGCAUGAGUGAUCUGUCCUCUGGCACGUGUCCAUAGCCCAUUUACAAGUCCGUCCGCUGCAUGCAGGCACACAUCCGGUCAUCGAACGUGCCGCCCAUGGUCUCCUACCCGUUUCCAUUUCAUGGCGAUGGCUUUGGGUCCGCAGCCUUGGGCAACUGACCCACAAUUGCAAUCGCCGAGGAAAGAUAAUUGAGAGACGGCGGAGGGUGAUUAAUUACAUCUCCGAAAUCUUCGAGAAAAAAACCAUGUAAAUGAAGGACGCAAUGGUUAAGAAGCGGAGCUUACAGCCUUCGAAAAUUAAGAAUGGACUUAAGAAUGAAGCACCUUAAUCGACAUUUCUUGCAACUUUAUACCUUGCAUCUUUCAUGUUUGCAAAACAGCCACUCCCCCUCCGUUUUACAUGCAUGUGGCCCCCGAAAACGAGCGGAAAUAUGUGUAUAAAAAUGUAUGUACAUAAAAAAUAAACAUUACUUAUGCUCGACACGUUGCCGUUGCCCGCUGACGGUGGGCUUUUGUCGCUGCAAUCGAAGCGCUCGCCCGUUCGCCAGUUUCACCUGGUCGUGCGCAUUUCCCUGCGUUUGUGUUAUCGUUUACCUGUCUGUACAGGUGAGAGCCUGCGGGCGGGAAAGUCAGAGUCGAUGGCGAUAAAAGCACAUAUACGCAUACAAACAGGCGCGCACAACACAUCCACAUUCAAAUUGUUUGGGCCCUGGCAUUGGCAAUUUGCUAUCACAGUGCUCUGUGGAAAUCGCAAAUUGAAUACGAAAUUGAACUUUCGCCUUUGGGAGAUGGGGGUCAUCGGAAAUUUGCCAUAAUUGCAUUGAAUGUCGAUGACAUUGAGCACAGGAAGCAAUUGCAGCAGGCUCGCGAUGGAAAAAUCUCAAUGAAAUAGAACAUAUCUCGAGGGCCAACUGUGAUCGGUGACUAGCAACUUAUUUGUGGCAGUGUAGCAUAAAGGAAUCCAUUCUUAUCGCCUCGCAUCAGACACAAUCAAUAAACAUCGCGUAUACGCAGCGUGGCCUGCGAACAAACACGGCGCACAAUUCAUAAAUGCCACGCCUGGCUGGCUCACCUGGCCGGGCUGAGCGGUUUUUUUUUUUAACGGAUCAAUAUUUUCCAGCAGCAGCACAGCCCUUGGCUAAGACGUUGACGUGGCAGCUGUGUGUCCUUGCAAGGACAAUUGUGUCGCCACGUCCCGCCUCCUUGUCCCACAUUUCUGUCCUGCGAAUGUGUGAAUUUGAUUUUUUCUUACUGCUUUACUGCCUCUGUUUUUUUUCUUUUUUUUUUGGGUGCCAAGGCCCGACAAAGGACUCGGCUUUGACCCGGUCCCAGUUUUGGGAUUCCACUCUCAAGUGGCAAUUAGUGGGCCAUGCCACGUGCCGCAAAAUCAGCCAAAAAUUUAAAUGAAUACACUUAGAAUAUAUUCAUUUGCCGAUUGCUUUGAUUUUAAUUCAAUAACUAUAAUUAUCAAUUUGAAUGCCAAGAGAAAAUGGCAUUUUUACCCUCAGUAUAUACCAAAUAGUAUAGACGUUUACCUUGAACGUAACCAAUCGGAAGACCCAAACAAAUCGAAAUCAUUUAACGAACACCAAUGUAAAUAUCAUCAUCAUCAUCGGCGAGCAGCUAAAACAACAGAGAAACAUGUUAAAAUAGGCCACAUUGUUUACGAAUUGCGAAAACUAAUGGCGUUUAAAUUACAAAAGUUCAAUUUAUGUCCAAAGGCUGCAAAUG